UGAGGAAUAUUGGGCAAUGCCCGCAAGGGUGACCCAGCAACGCCGCGUGGAGGAUGAAUGUCGUAAGAUUGUAAACUCCUGUUAGAGGGGAAGAAUAGUACCGGUUGGACCGGUAUAUGACUGUACCCUCAGAGAAAGCCCCGGCUAACUACGUGCCAGCAGCCGCGGUAAUACGUAGGGGGCAAGCGUUGUCCGGAUUCACUGGGUGUAAAGGGCGCGCAGGCGGGAUAAAAAGUCAGUGGUGAAAUCCUACAGCUUAACUGUAGAACUGCCUUUGAUAUUUUUAUUCUUGAGUUCGGGAGAGAGAGACGGAAUUCCAGGUGUAGUGGUGAAAUACGUAGAUAUCUGGAAGAACACCAGUUGCGAAGGCGGUCUCUUGGUCCGACACUGACGCUGAGGCGCGAAAGCGUGGGGAGCAAACA
rnacentral:rRNA from 1 species